AUUUAGAGAAGUGUUACCCGCGUUGGACCGUGUACAAGUCUCCUGGAAUGGAGCGUCAUAGAGGGUGAGAAUCCCGUCUUUGACACGGACUACCAGUGCUUUGUGGUGCGCUUUCGAAGAGUCGAGUAGUUUGGGAAUGCAGCUCUAAAUGGGUGGUAAAUUCCAUCUAAAGCUAAAUAUGGCGAGAGACCGAUAGCGAACAAGUACCGUGAGGGAAAGAUGAAAAGAACUUGGAAAGAGAGUUAAACAGUACGUGAAAUUGCUGAAAGGGAAACGCUUGAAGUCAGUCGCGUUGACCAGGGAUCAGCCUUCCUUACGGUUGGUGUACUUCCUGGUUUGACGGGUCAGCAUCAGUUUUGACCGUUGGAUAAAGUCUGAAGGAAUGUGGCAUCUUCGGGUGUGUUAUAGCCUUCAGUUGUAUACAACGGCUGGGACUGAGGAACUCAGCACGCCGCAAGGCCGGGUCUUUGACCACGUUCGUGCUUAGGAUGCUGGCACAUAAUGGCUUUAAUCGACCCGUCUUGAAACACGGACCAAGGAGUCUAACAUGCCUGCGAGUGUUUGGGUGGAAAACCCGAGCGCGUAAUGAAAGUGAAAGUUGAGAUCUCUGUCGUGGAGAGCAUCGACGCCCGGCCCAGACCUUCUGUGACGGUGCCGCGGUUGAGCAUGUAUGUUGGGACCCGAAAGAUGGUGAACUAUGCCUGAAUAGGGUGAAGCCAGAGGAAACUCUGGUGGAGGCU
rnacentral:rRNA from 1 species